UUUUAUUAAUGAAAACAUAUCUUAUUUAUUUGACUAAAUUAAACGAGGGGAUGUAUAAAAACUAGCAUAUACAACGACAUAUAGGAAAAGUUGGAUCAGGAGCAUAACAUAUCAAAUGACAUCCUUUUUUGCACCCAAGACCCCAUCGAUUCGCAUUUUGCUGCAAAGCUUCAUGAUGCAAAGCAAUUUGUGGCAUUUCUUCGGAUAAUACACGUUUUGCUUCAACAUUUCGUGUAGUUACGAUGCACAUCACUACAAAACCAAACUAACUUGUUGUUAUAAACAUAAAAUUUGCAUGUAGAGAUUUUUAAUUUUAUUCACACAUGAAAUAAAAUUUUACCGAAUGUAACAACAAAGAAGGCAACAAAAGCGAACUUCGUUGAUGUUCUCUCCAUUUUUUUUUGCUUGUUGAGAAUAUUUAAUUGAAAAGGAUUUUGAAGAUUAAUACUU
rnacentral:sRNA from 1 species